UUGUUGGUAAGGUAAAGGCUUACCAAGGCUUCGAUCAGUAGCUGGUCUGAGAGGACGACCAGCCACACUGGGACUGAGACACGGCCCAGACUCCUACGGGAGGCAGCAGUGGGGAAUUUUGGACAAUGGGGGCAACCCUGAUCCAGCCAUGCCGCGUGAGUGAAGAAGGCCUUCGGGUUGUAAAGCUCUUUCAGCCGGAACGAAACGGUUACGGUUAAUACCCGUGACUAAUGACGGUACCGGAAGAAGAAGCACCGGCUAACUACGUGCCAGCAGCCGCGGUAAUACGUAGGGUGCGAGCGUUAAUCGGAAUUACCGGGCGUAAAGCGUGCGCAGGUGGUUUUGUAAGUCAGAUGUGAAAGCCCCGGGCUCAACCUGGGAACUGCGUUUGAAACUACAAGACUAGAGUGUGGCAGAGGGGGGUGGAAUUCCGCGUGUAGCAGUGAAAUGCGUAGAGAUGUGGAGGAACACUGAUGGCGAAGGCAGCCCCCUGGGUUAACACUGACGCUCAGGCACGAAAGCAUGGGGAGCAAACAGGAUUAGAUACCCUGGUAGUCCAUGCCCUAAACGAUGUCAACUAGUUGUCGGGCCUUUACGGGCUUGGUAACGUAGCUAACGCGUGAAGUUGACCGCCUGGGGAGUACGAUCGCAAGAUUAAAACUCAAAUGAAUUGACGGGGACCCGCACAAGCGGUGGAUUAUGUGGAUUAAUUCGAUGCAACGCGAAAAACCUUACCUACCCUUGACAUGUAUCGAAGCCCGCAGAAAAGCGGGGGUGCCCGAAAGGGAACGAUAACACAGGUGCUGCAUGGCUGUCGUCAGCUCGUGUCGUGAGAUGUUGGGUUAAGUCCCGCAACGAGCGCAACCCUUGUCAUUAAUUGCCAUCAUUUAGCUGGGCACUUUAAUGAGACUGCCGG
rnacentral:rRNA from 1 species